AUUGAACGCUGGCGGCAUGCCUUACACAUGCAAGUCAAACGGUAACAGGUCUUCGGAUGCUGACGAGUGGCGAACGGGUGAGUAAUACAUCGGAACGUGCCUAGUAGUGGGGGAUAACUACUCGAAAGAGUGGCUAAUACCGCAUGAGAUCUACGGAUGAAAGCAGGGGAUCGCAAGACCUUGUGCUACUAGAGCGGCCGAUGGCAGAUUAGGUAGUUGGUGGGAUAAAAGCUUACCAAGCCGACGAUCUGUAGCUGGUCUGAGAGGACGAUCAGCCACACUGGGACUGAGACACGGCCCAGACUCCUACGGGAGGCAGCAGUGGGGAAUUUUGGACAAUGGGCGAAAGCCUGAUCCAGCAAUGCCGCGUGCAGGAUGAAGGCCUUCGGGUUGUAAACUGCUUUUGUACGGAACGAAAAGCCCCGGGUUAAUACCCUGGGGUCAUGACGGUACCGUAAGAAUAAGCACCGGCUAACUACGUGCCAGCCGCCGCGGUAA
rnacentral:rRNA from 1 species